UUGCUGUGGCAGCACAUAUACUAAAAAUUGGAACCAUACAGAGAAGAUUACCAUGGCCACUGUGCAAGAACGGCACACAAGUUCAUGAAGCAUUCCUUAUUUUG